CGGCGACUAUUAGAGUGGCGGAAGGGCGAGUACUGUAUGGGUAACGUACUUCUUGCACGAGGAUAGCCGCGGGACACUGCGGGUAAUACUCGAUGCUGUCCUAGGGUCAUAUGACCUCUGGAUGAAAGGCGGGGAUCUUCGGACCCUGUCGGCAGGAGAGCGGCCCAUAUGCUAUCAGCUAGUUGGUGAGGUAACGGCUCACCAAGGCGACGACGGCUAGCGGAGCUGAGAGGUGGGCCCGCCGCACUGGGACUGAGACACUGCCCAGACUCCUACGGGAGGCUGCAGUAACGAAUCUUCCGCAAUGGGCGAAAGCCUGACGGUACAAUGCCCGCGUGUGGGAAUAAACUCUUCGGAGUGUAAACCACUGUCAGGGGUUACCAAGGCAAUGUGAGCUAAUAUCUCCCGUGGUUGAGGAGCCCCAUAGGAAGCCACGGCUAACUUCGUGCCAGCAGCCGCGGUAAUACGAAGGUGGCGAGCGUUAUUCGGAAUCACCUGGGCUUACAGAGCACGUAGGC
rnacentral:rRNA from 1 species